GAAAUAUAUAAAAAUUAAACUUCUAAUUUAAUUUAUAGUGAUUUAUUUCAUUAAUAUUUCA
rnacentral:tRNA from 1 species